AUUGAACGCUGGCGGCAGGCCUAACACAUGCAAGUCGAGCGGUAGCACAGAGAGCUUGCUCUCGGGUGACGAGCGGCGGACGGGUGAGUAAUGUCUGGGAAACUGCCUGAUGGAGGGGGAUAACUACUGGAAACGGUAGCUAAUACCGCAUAACGUCGCAAGACCAAAGUGGGGGACCUUCGGGCCUCAUGCCAUCAGAUGUGCCCAGAUGGGAUUAGCUAGUAGGUGGGGUAACGGCUCACCUAGGCGACGAUCCCUAGCUGGUCUGAGAGGAUGACCAGCCACACUGGAACUGAGACACGGUCCAGACUCCUACGGGAGGCAGCAGUGGGGGAUAUUGCACAAUGGGCGCAAGCCUGAUGCAGCCAUGCCGCGUGUGUGAAGAAGGCCUUCGGGUUGUAAAGCACUUUCAGCGGGGAGGAAGGCGGUGAGGUUAAUAACCUCACCGAUUGACGUUACCCGCAGAAGAAGCACCGGCUAACUCCGUGCCAGCAGCCGCGGUAAUACGGAGGGUGCAAGCGUUAAUCGGAAUUACUGGGCGUAAAGCGCACGCAGGCGGUCUGUCAAGUCGGAUGUGAAAUCCCCGGGCUCAACCUGGGAACUGCAUUCGAAACUGGCAGGCUAGAGUCUUGUAGAGGGGGGUAGAAUUCCAGGUGUAGCGGUGAAAUGCGUAGAGAUCUGGAGGAAUACCGGUGGCGAAGGCGGCCCCCUGGACAAAGACUGACGCUCAGGUGCGAAAGCGUGGGGAGCAAACAGGAUUAGAUACCCUGGUAGUCCACGCUGUAAACGAUGUCGAUUUGGAGGUUGUGCCCUUGAGGCGUGGCUUCCGGAGCUAACGCGUUAAAUCGACCGCCUGGGGAGUACGGCCGCAAGGUUAAAACUCAAAUGAAUUGACGGGGGCCCGCACAAGCGGUGGAGCAUGUGGUUUAAUUCGAUGCAACGCGAAGAACCUUACCUGGUCUUGACAUCCACAGAACUUUCCAGAGAUGGAUUGGUGCCUUCGGGAACUGUGAGACAGGUGCUGCAUGGCUGUCGUCAGCUCGUGUUGUGAAAUGUUGGGUUAAGUCCCGCAACGAGCGCAACCCUUAUCCUUUGUUGCCAGCGGUUAGGCCGGGAACUCAAAGGAGACUGCCAGUGAUAAACUGGAGGAAGGUGGGGAUGACGUCAAGUCAUCAUGGCCCUUACGACCAGGGCUACACACGUGCUACAAUGGCAUAUACAAAGAGAAGCGACCUCGCGAGAGCAAGCGGACCUCAUAAAGUAUGUCGUAGUCCGGAUUGGAGUCUGCAACUCGACUCCAUGAAGUCGGAAUCGCUAGUAAUCGUAGAUCAGAAUGCUACGGUGAAUACGUUCCCGGGCCU
rnacentral:rRNA from 1 species